rnacentral:rRNA from 1 species
UCUCCUACGGGGGGCAGCAGUGAGGAAUAUUGGUCAAUGGGCGGGAGCCUGAACCAGCCAAGCCGCGUGAGGGAAGAAGGUACAGCGUAUCGUAAACCUCUUUUGUCAGGGAACAAACCCGGGACGAGUCCCGGACUGCGUGUAUCCGAAGAAAAAGCAUCGGCUAACUCCGUGCCAGCAGCCGCGGUAAUACGGAGGAUGCGAGCGUUAUCCGGAUUUAUUGGGUUUAAA